rnacentral:lncRNA from 1 species
AAGUAAAGCUGCUUCUUUCACGAAAACAACUAUACAGGGGAAAAUUAUUAAAAAUGUUUUCCCAGCAAAUCAACACAAUUUAAUAGUAAAUAGCAAUAUUAGCAGCAUUCCAUCUAGUGCAAAAUAGGUCUUUCAAGCACAGUGGCCAAUGACCGUGGAGAAGUCUCCCAGGAAGGUUCUGGAACAGGUUCUUACAGGAAGGGCAGCCGAGAACAUCAAUGAUUAAAAGGGGGCUGAGAAGAGGAAACUGAUGGACAAAGGGGUGAGAAGUGGGAGAAAGAACGAAAAUCUGGAGGUUGGAGGAUAAACAAACCCACAUCCUUGUGGAUGAA